UGGGGAAUAUUGCACAAUGGGCGCAAGCCUGAUGCAGCCAUGCCGCGUGUGUGAAGAAGGCCUUCGGGUUGUAAAGCACUUUCAGCGGGGAGGAAGGCGAUAAGGUUAAUAACCUCAUCGAUUGACGUUACCCGCAGAAGAAACACCGGCUAACUCCGUGCCAGCAGCCGCGGUAAUACGGAGGGUGCAAGCGUUAAUCGGAAUUACUGGGCGUAAAGCGCACGCAGGCGGUCUGUCAAGUCGGAUGUGAAAUCCCCGGGCUCAACCUGGGAACUGCAUUCGAAACUGGCAGGCUAGAGUCUUGUAGAGGGGGGUAGAAUUCCAGGUGUAGCGGUGAAAUGCGUAGAGAUCUGGAGGAAUACCGGUGGCGAAGGCGGCCCCCUGGACGAAGACUGACGCUCAGGUGCGAAAGCGUGGGGAGCAAACAGG
rnacentral:rRNA from 1 species